GCCGGCGUAGUGCAGUGGUCAGCACGUUUCGUUGUGGGGAAACCAGAGCGGUAGUUUAUGAGGAAAAGCUGAAAAGCUUGCUCUAUUCUACGAGUCUGGGACCUGACGACCGAAGAAACCUUAGUUCAAAUCUGAGCGCCGGCA